CUCUUGCAGGCAGUCCCACACACCACCUGUAUCCCGAGGAAAGGUGGGCGUUCCCAAAGAGUAUGUUCAGGCCAGAGCCUCUGGGAGGUAAAUAAGAAUAGAUGCCCAGCCAAGAAACUCUUCAAAGCUCAAGAGGAAUGAAGAGAAGAGAGAGGACCACCAUUCACUGAGGGCUAGCCGUGAGUGAGGCACGGGGCAUAGGCAAUCUCCUACGUGCUCACGACAGCCCUGGGAGCAGUAUUGCCACCUGCACUCCACAGGGGAGGAAACUGGGGCUCAGAACAGGAAAGUAAUUUGCCAGAGUCCCUGGGUGUGUGGCUGUGAUUCUGGAGCCAUGCUCUGUAUCAACCAGUGGGGUAUACACAAAACAUCAACAAUAACAGCAAUGUCCAACUUCAAAACAUUAAAAAUAGCCUCAGUACUACAAGGCUUUCUCUUUCUGAAACCUCUGUUGAAGCCAGUCAAGUGGAAAGUCAGGCCGUGUCCCCUCCCAAGCCUCACAGGCUGAGCCAGGUUUGGUGGCCACUGAAGCCCUUGACUUCCUUCCGGUCUCAGGUCAGUCCUCCCUGGGACACUCCUAAUGUACUCAUUUGGGGGCUUCUGUUGAGUCCAGGAAACUCCACAGGACACAGCUGAGGCUGGGUGGCCACCAGACACGUGCUGUGUACAGAGAGAACAAAGCGGGGGUUUCCCUAGGUUCCAUGAGCACAGGAGCCCUUUCCUCCAGGCUGGCUCCAUCCGAGCUGGCUUAGGUUUGAGGGCAGCUGCCCAGAAUCUAUAGGGUGCCUCCGGGAACUGUCUCAAGGCCAGAGCAUCCAGCUUCCUAGCUGUUAGUGGGCGGUGAGCCUACCGGGGCUUCGAGAGACAGGGCUUCCCCAGAUCCAGCCUGAUGAGAUCAUCUGCCAUUUCAGGCUGGGCUGAAAGAUCCUCCGGCACAACAAAGCUGGGCCCAGGAGAUAUCCUGCAUGACUCAUCGGUCGGCCACGCAUUGGAGACUUCCGGCCCUCAGAGAAACCAGACACAGAGAGCCAUUGUCUGCCUUGGAAGCCCCCCGGCAUACCAGGCUCAAUGGGGCUAAGGAAGGUCUUGUACUGGUUUUAGAGCCCUGGACGGAGCUCCAGACGACCUGGGCCUUCCUUGUUCUACCACCGACUUGCUGGGAGUUUCAGCAAGCCUUCACCUUCCGCGUUGGCGUUCUCAGCUCUAAGAAAAGGAAGUUGAUUUCCAUGAGAGGUGAUCAAACUGUGCUGUAGAAACCUCAGCGAUUCCACAGAACAUUAGAGUACCUCUGCGAAGCAGAAUUCUCCACGUGGAGAAACCUCCCCUCUCACUGAUUUUAUAUGCCAUGCAUGUCAAAGCUCUGGGGAAGAUUUUUUUGCUUGAGGAAAAAAAAAAAAGAUUUUUGCUGAUUAAAGAAAAACAACCCCGAAAAGUGCUGACUAUGAUAUCUGUGCAUUUAUUGUGGAAAUCUAGACAGUUUGCACUGAAAUCAGAGAUGUUUCUCAUAGAAUGGGACUAGGAGGAUUCAAGGAAAGAAGACCUGCUUCCUGUUUCCUAGCCCGUAAACCCUUGCUGUUGUUUUCAUGAUUCUUAUGAUCCUUCCUGGGUUGUGAUGAGAGGCUGGCAGGGGAGCCAGCUGCCUUCUGCCUCAGUGCCUAGAGCCAGGCUCAGCCCUGGUGAGGAGGGACAAUCCUGGCUGGGUAGGUCAGGCAGCUAAAAGUCAGGGGUCAGGUCCCCUACUUCAGCGGCCCCUAACCUUCUUGGCACCAGGGAAGACAAAAAUCCGAAGACAAUUUUUCCACAAACUGGAGACGGAGGGAUGGUUUCGGGAUGAUUCAGGCAUUUCUGGUGCACUUUAUUUCUAUUAUUAUUACGUUGUAAUAUAUCAUGAAAUAAUGAUCUAACUCACCAUAAUGUAGACUCAGUGGGAGCCUGAGCUUGUUUGCCUGAAACUAGAUGGUCCCACCUUCAGGGGAUGAGAGACAGUGACAGAUCGUCAGGCAUUAGAUUCUCAUAAGGAGCUCACAACCAAGAUCUCCUGCAUGAGCAAGGGCUCGCAUACACAAUGGGGCUCGCGCUCCUGUGAGAUUCUAACGCGGC
rnacentral:lncRNA from 1 species